GAAAUGAAUAGCUAAAUUUAAGUGUGUUGGUUACAUCAAUAUGAUACUGAGAAGUUUUAUUU
rnacentral:tRNA from 1 species